GUAGGUGAACCUGCGGAAGGAUCAUUAUUGAUUUGAAACAAACAAUAAACACAAAAACUUUCGGGUUAUUGUGUGAAAAUACGUGCCGUUUGGUGCGUAAUACCGCACAUAGUUAUGUGCAAAGAAAUGGAAGAAAUGGAAGCACUUUGAUAGAGUAUAUUUUGGGUACUUACUUAAUUUGAGUAUAAACGACAAAUCCGUCGUGACAUUCGCCCAAAACUAAAAUAUUAAAUCAUUGUGUUUAAAACCCUCUGUCGUAGCCGGUAUACUGUAAUGGGAUAUUGGUUUACGCUUUAUGUGUAACAAAAUAAAUUUGUAACAAAAUUUAUAUUUAACCCUAAGCGGGGGAUCACUUGGCUUGU
rnacentral:misc_RNA from 1 species